rnacentral:rRNA from 1 species
GACGAACGCUGGCGGCGUGCUUAACACAUGCAAGUCGAACGGAAAGGCCCUGCCUUUGUGGGGUGCUCGAGUGGCGAACGGGUGAGUAACACGUGAGUAACCUGCCCUUGACUUUGGGAUAACUUCAGGAAACUGGGGCUAAUACCGGAUAGGAGCUCCUGCUGCAUGGUGGGGGUUGGAAAGUUUCGGCGGUUGGGGAUGGACUCGCGGCUUAUCAGCUUGUUGGAGGGGUAGUGGCUUACCAAGGCCUUGACGGGUAGCCGGGCUGAGAGGGUGACCGGCCACAUUGGGACUGAGAUACGGCCCAGACUCCUACGGGAGGCAGCAGUGGGGAAUAUUGCACAAUGGGCGGAAGCCUGAUGCAGCAACGCCGCGUGCGGGAUGACGGCCUUCGGGUUGUGAACCGCUUUCGCCUGUGACGAAGCGUGAGUGACGGUAAUGGGUAAAGAAGCACCGGCUAACUACGUG